GAUGAACGCUGACAGAAUGCUUAACACAUGCAAGUCAACUUGAACUUCGGUUUGGGUGGCGGACGGGUGAGUAACGCGUAAAGAACUUGCCUCACAGCUAGGGACAACAUUUGGAAACGAAUGCUAAUACCUGAUAUUAUGAUUAUAUGGCAUCGUAUAAUUAUGAAAGCUAUAUGCGCUGUGAGAGAGCUUUGCGUCCCAUUAGCUAGUUGGAGAGGUAACAGCUCACCAAGGCGAUGAUGGGUAGCCGGCCUGAGAGGGUGAUCGGCCACAAGGGGACUGAGACACGGCCCUUACUCCUACGGGAGGCAGCAGUGGGGAAUAUUGGACAAUGGACCGAGAGUCUGAUCCAGCAAUUCUGUGUGCACGAUGAAGUUUUUCGGAAUGUAAAGUGCUUUCAGUUGGGAAGAAAAAAAUGACGGUACCAACAGAAGAAGUGGCGGCUAAAUACGUG
rnacentral:rRNA from 1 species